GAUGAACGCUGACAGAAUGCUUAACACAUGCAAGUCUUUGGUGAAGCUGUGCUUGCACAGCCUAGCCAAGGCGGACGGGUGAGUAACGCGUAAGGAACUUGCCCUGCAGUCAGGGAUAACAGACGGAAACGACUGAUAAGACCUGGUAAAGUCAGGCGGACUCAUGUCCAGCCUGAUGAAAAGAGAUGCUGCAGGAGAGCCUUGCGUCCUAUUAGCUUGUUGGUGGGGUAACGGCCCACCAAGGCAAUGAUAGGUAGACGGGCUGAGAGGGUGGACGGCCACAAGGGGACUGAGAGACGGCCCUUACUCCUACGGGAGGCAGCAGUGGGGAAUAUUGGACAAUGGGGGCAACCCUGAGCCAGCAAUUCUGUGUGAAAGAUGAAGGUUUUCGGAUUGUAAAGUGCUUUCAGCAGGGAAGAAAAAAAUGACGGUACCUGCAGAAGAAGCGACGGCUAAAUACGU
rnacentral:rRNA from 1 species